CCCUUAGAUGUUCUGGGCUGCACGCGCGCUACACUGACGCACGCAACGGGUGCCUGCUCCGAGAGGACUGGGUAAUCAUUUGAGUGUGCGUCGUGAUGGGGAUAGAAUAUUGUAAUUAUUACUCUUCAACGAGGAAUUCCUAGUAAGCGCCAGUCAGCAGCUUGCGCUGAUUACGUCCCUGCCCUUUGUACACACCGCCCGUCGCUCCUACCGAUGGGUGAUCCGGUGAAUGAUUCGGACUUCAGCGGCUCCCCUGGGGUGCGCCGGAGAAAGUUUUGUGAACCUUAUCACUUGGAGGAAGGAGAAGUCGUAACA
rnacentral:rRNA from 1 species